rnacentral:rRNA from 1 species
UACGUAGGGUGCGAGCGUUGUCCGGAAUUAUUGGGCGUAAAGAGCUCGUAGGCGGUUUGUUGCGUCUAUCGUGAAAACCUGCGGCUUAACUGUGGGCUUGCGGUGGAUACGGGCAGACUUGAGUUCGGUAGGGGAGACUGGAAUUCCUGGUGUAGCGGUGAAAUGCGCAGAUAUCAGGAGGAACACCGGUGGCGAAGGCGGGGUCUCUGGGCCGAUACUGACGCUGAGGAGCGAAAGCGUGGGGAGCGAACAGG